rfam:Felis catus isolate Cinnamon breed Abyssinian chromosome A1, whole genome shotgun sequence.
GCCUGGGUGGCUCAGUCAGUUGGGCAUCUGACUUCAGCUCAGGUCAUGAUCCCACAGUCCGUGAGUUCGAGCCCCGUGUCAGGCU